rnacentral:rRNA from 1 species
UGGGGAAUAUUGGACAAUGGGCGAAAGCCUGAUCCAGCCAUGCCGCAUGAGUGAAGAAGGUCUUCGGAUUGUAAAGCACUUUAAGUUGGGAGGAAGGGCAUUAACCUAAUACGUUAGUGUUUUGACGUUACCGACAGAAUAAGCACCGGCUAACUCUGUGCCAGCAGCCGCGGUAAUAAAGAGGGUGCAAGCGUUAAUCGGAAUUACUGGGCGUAAAGCGCGCGUAGGUGGUUUGUUAAGUUGGAUGUGAAAUCCCCGGGCUCAACCUGGGAACUGCAUUCAAAACUGACUGACUAGAGUAUGGUAGAGGGUGGUGGAAUUUCCUGUGUAGCGGUGAAAUGCGUAGAUAUAGGAAGGAACACCAGUGGCGAAGGCGACCACCUGGACUAAUACUGACACUGAGGUGCGAAAGCGUGGGGAGCAAACA